GACUAGGGAAAGGAGGGGAGGGGCAUUGGUAGUUCGUGGUAAAAGUGUUCAGGUGAAGGAUGGUGGAUACGGCGCGAGCGAGGCGCUGCAGCGUGGCUCCUGCAAUCAGUAAGAAUUUGGAGGUGCAUGAGGGCUGCCACAGGUGUGUGAAGAAAGCCGGCGAAUCGAACAUUGGUCCAGACGUGUGAGCUGCCUGAGCUGGUGAGGUCUGUUGGGAAGAGAGAAGAGCGUUAGAAGGCAGAGCAGGUGGCGAGGGUGGUUUUGAGCGUCCGGCAUCAGGGAUAAGGAACGACAUUG
rnacentral:lncRNA from 1 species